GACGAACGCUGGCGGCGUGCUUAACACAUGCAAGUCGAACGGAAAGGCCCUGCUUUUGUGCGGUGCUCGAGUUGCGAACGGGUGAGUAACACGUGAGUAACCUGCCCUUGACUUUGGGAUAAGUUCAGAAAGCUGGGUGUAUUCCCGGCAAGGAGUUCUUGCUGUUUGGUGGGGGUGGGAAAGUUUCGCCGGUUGGGGGUGGACUAGCGGCUUAUAAGCUUGUUGGAGGGGUAGUGUCUUACCAAGGCUUGGCAGGGUAGCCGGCCUGGGAGGGUGACAGGCCACACUGGGACUGGGCUACGGCACAGACUCCUAUGGGAGGCAGCAGUGGGGAAUAGUGCACAAUGGGCGGAAGGCUGAUGCAGCAAAGCCGCGUGCGGGAUGACGGCAAUCCGGUUGUAAACCGCUGUCGCCUGUGACGGAGCGUGAGUGACGGUAAUGGGUAAAGAAGCACCGGCUAACUACGUG
rnacentral:rRNA from 1 species